AUGGCCGCCCGGCCAGCUGCGUCCAGGGAGGCUCCGCCUGCGGUGGCCUCCUGUCGUCCUCACGCCCGGGGACCUCGCGGGGCCAGAGAGGGGAUCCAAGGGCUGCGGAGGGGGGCACCUCCCGGUGCCAUCUCCCCGGGGCUGCCUGGGACGGCUCCUCCUGGGCAGUGGGGGGUGGGACAGGGGCACCCAACUCAGACCUUCCCACCUAGAGGCACAGGGGCCCCCUCUCCCUGUAGGGAUGCCCCUCCUCUAGCUCACGCCCAGCUGGGCUGGCCUCUCAGCUCCCACAGGCAGCGUCCGAACCUGCUGCGGCCCCUCUCCACGCCCCACAGCCUCGGUCAGGGCCCCAAGGAGCACUUUGUCCCACUGGCCAGGCAGGACAGGCCAGGACACCCUGCCCGCCCCGGGGCCUCCCUCUGGGCUGCCUGGGGAGCUGUGCACCCAGAGCCCCAGGAGGGCCGGCCUCCCUCCUCGCCUCCGCGGCCUCGGGGGCCCCACUGGGGAAGCAACCCUGGACAGGUAGGGCCGAGAAGCAGCCAGGAUUUGGUGGGCCGUCCCUCACGGAAGCCGCCACACUCACUCCAGAGACCUGUUCUGAACCCCUGUUUUGCGCCGAGCCGCCUCGUCAGCGUCAAGGAUACGGCGGGAAAGCCGCGAGGUGGCGCGGUCACUGGACGCGGGGAGCGCUCUGGAGAAGGCCAAGGCCGCGGAAGGAGAAGGUGGGCUGGGGCGGCGCUCAGCUGGGGUGGUCGGGGAAGGCCACUGUCUGGGGGGACCCAUGGGAACGCCGGGGACUGGGUGCCGGCCCCGACAGCUCUUCCUCCCACUUUGCAGAUGAGGAUCUCAAGGUUCCAGAGGGUCGAGAGCAACCAGGUGUACCCUGACACCUUUGGGGUGCUCUUGCACCUUGUCCCCAGGAUGCCAACUCUGCAGUCCACAGGGUCUCCCCCUUCCUAAACACUUUUGUGCCUGUGCUGGACCCUCGGGCUCUCGGGACUCCUCCGUCCAGGCGUGUGGCACCCUCUCCGCCGGGUCUGCUGACAGGUACCCUGUGCCCGAGGCCCUGGGACACGCAGCUCAGGGCGCCUGCCCCCCCCCCCCCGCCCCGCAGACCUUGCACUAGGGCUCCCCUGAUAGGGUGGGGACCCCAGUUCUGGAUGCCGCGGUGGAAGAAGGUACGAAAUCAACCGCAUUCAAAAACAGGCUUUGAAAGAAGAAGGGGUGUCACGUUUGCAAAAUUUACGCCCCGCUCCGAGUGUCCCCCCCUUCGUCCCACGGCCAGCGCCCCGCGAGGUGCGCCCUCGGGUCACAGCCCCGGGGGGCCCGCAGAGGAGCGGGCCUCGGACGCGGUUCCUUCGCCGAGGGGCGCCGCGGGGUCCCGUGGGGGGCCCGACACCCG
rnacentral:lncRNA from 1 species